rnacentral:lncRNA from 1 species
CCCCUUGGAAAAGAAAAAAAUACAACCCCCCUUCCAAUAUUUUAACCUCAAAAACACUUAAUUUUUCAUGAAAUACAACACUAAUAAUUUCUGAAAUCAUAAAAUAUGUUAGUGUGAUUAUCUUUUGUUUGACGAAAAUCUCAAUUUUAAAAGGAGUGAGGUUUAAUGGAUUUACCCAAUUUUCAUUAAUGAUUUUGAUCUCUUUAG